rnacentral:rRNA from 1 species
UAUGUGAUCGUCUCUCGCAUAUCAAUAAGCGGAGGAAAAGAAACUAACAAGGAUUCCCCUAGUAACGGCGAGUGAAGCGGGAAGAGCUCAAAUUUGAAAUCUUAAAGGGUUUCCCUUUACGAAUUGUAGUUUAAAGAAGUGUUUUCUGUUGAGGUUUUGGUAAAAGUUCUUUGGAAUAGGACAUCAUAGAGGGUGAGAAUCCCGUAUUUGACCUUUACUUUCAACUUUGUGAUACACUUUCAAAGAGUCGGAUUGUUUGGGAAUGCAGUCCAAAAUGGGUGGUAAAUUUCAUCUAAAGCUAAAUAUUGGCGAGAGACCGAUAGCGAACAAGUACCGUGAGGGAAAGAUGAAAAGAACUUUGAAAAGAGAGUUAAACAGUACGUGAAAUUGUCAAUAGGGAAGCGUUUGACACCAGUGUUGUUUUUUCUGAAAAUCAAUUAAAGAACUGUUUAUGCUAAGUUGUUUAGACUUUAUCAGCUAACUGUUUAGUUUUGAGCUUUUCUUUAAUGCACUUUUCAGUUAACAAGUCAACAUCAAUUUCUUUUGCUGUAAAAAAGCUUGAGGAAGGUGGCUUGAGAUUCGUCUUAAGUGUUUAUAGCCUCUUGCCUAUGCAGUCGGAGAGAUUGAGGUCUGCAGCGUAGAUCCUUCGGGGCUAAAUGCAUUUGCGCUAAGUUAUAGCAUUUUAUAGACAACUUGUUGACUAUGAUUUGUCUUGUAGCUUACUCGCUUAUGUUAUUUUACCUACGCUUAGGAUGUUGAGUCAUCACACAUCUCU